UACGGAGGGUGCGAGCGUUGUCCGGAAUCACUGGGCGUAAAGGGCGCGUAGGUGGCGCGGGCAGUCAACGGUGAAAGUUCGGGGCUCAACCCUGAAUCGGCCGUCGAUACUCCCGGGCUGGAGCACUGUAGAGGCUAAUGGAAUUCCGGGUGUAGCGGUGGAAUGCGUAGAGAUCCGGAAGAACACCGGUGGCGAAGGCGGUUAGCUGGGCAGUUGCUUGGACACUGAGAGACGAAAGCUAGGGUAGCGAAUGGG
rnacentral:rRNA from 1 species